GAGACUCUGUGCGCGUGCAUAUCAAUAAGCGGAGGAAAAGAAACUAACAAGGAUUCCCUUAGUAACGGCGAGUGAAGCGGGAAGAGCUCAAAUUUGAAAUCUUCAAGGUUUUACCUUGACGAAUUGUAGUUUAAAGAAGUGUUUUCUGUUGGAGUUUUGGUAAAAGUUCUUUGGAAUAGGACAUCAUAGAGGGUGAGAAUCCCGUAUUUGACCAUUAUUUCCAACUUUGUGAUACACUUUCAAAGAGUCGGAUUGUUUGGGAAUGCAGUCCAAAAUGGGUGGUAAAUUUCAUCUAAAGCUAAAUACUGGCGAGAGACCGAUAGCGAACAAGUACCGUGAGGGAAAGAUGAAAAGAACUUUGAAAAGAGAGUUAAACAGUACGUGAAAUUGUCAAAAGGGAAGCGUUUGACACCAGUGUUGUUUUUCCGAAAAUCAAUUACGAAUGUUUUGUUUUUGAGGAGUUAUGACUUCAUCGGCUUGCUCCUUUCUUUAUGAAACUUUCUUAAUGCACUUUUCGGUUAACAAGUCAACAUCAAUUUCUUUUGUUGUAAAAGGGUAUGAGGAAGGUGGCUUUCUUUUCGGAGAAAGUGUUUAUAGCCUUGUGCCUCUGCAAUCGGAGAGAUUGAGGUCUGCAGCGUAGAUCCUUCGGGGUUAGAUACGUUUGUGCUAAGUUAUAGCUUUUCAUAGACAACUUGUUGACUAUGUUUAGUCUUGUAGCUUACUCGCUGACGCUAUUUUACCUACGCUUAGGAUGUUGACAGCAGUAUAGACUGU
rnacentral:rRNA from 1 species